UACGAAGGGGGCUAGCGUUGCUCGGAAUCACUGGGCGUAAAGCGCACGUAGGCGGCUUCUUAAGUCAGGGGUGAAAUCCUGGAGCUCAACUCCAGAACUGCCUUUGAUACUGAGGAGCUUGAGUCCGGGAGAGGUGAGUGGAACUCCUAGUGUAGAGGUGGAAUUCGUAGAUAUUCGCAAGAACACCAGUGGCGAAGGCGGCUCACUGGCCCGAUACUGACGCUGAGGCACGAAAGCGUGGGGAGCAAACAGG
rnacentral:rRNA from 1 species